GCAUUCUAAGCUAACUAGGUAGAAGCACUGGAUUGAAAACCCAGAGGACUUGGCUCGAUACCAAGAGAGUGCA
rnacentral:tRNA from 1 species